rnacentral:tRNA from 1 species
GGGAGAUUAGCUCAGUUGGUAGAGCAACUCGUUUACACCGAGAAGGUCAGAGGUUCGAGUCCUCUAUCUCCCA